rnacentral:lncRNA from 1 species
AUAUCGCUCAUGAUGAAAAAUGUGUUUGGCUUUUUAUGCACUCAUCAUGUUAGGUAAAGCUUGACAACAUCCACAGUACUUCGAGUAUGGUGCAGCUUCUUACUCAACUUGGAAUGCACAGGGAACCUACGUUAGUUGAGCUCUAGAAGUUGCGUCUGAUAUUUUCUUCCGCAAUAUCGACUUUCUGGAAAGAUCCUUCACAACAAGCAAUAGUAAGUGGAGUGAUUAUUUCAUCCACUACCGC